rnacentral:rRNA from 1 species
GAUGAACGCUAGCGGCGUGGAUAAGGCAUGCAAGUCAAGGGGGUUGCCUUCGGGCGACAACCGGCGAACGGGUUAGUAACACGUAGAUACAUACCAUUCACACAGGCAUAACUCAUCGAAAGAUGAGCUAAUUCCUGAAGUCCCUCCCUCGGGCGGGUAAAGGUUUCGAGCAAUCGAUUCUGGUGGAUGAGUGGUCUGCGGCUUAUCAGCUUGUUGGUGAGGUAAUGGCUCACCAAGGCAAUGACGGGUAGGGGAUAUGAGAGUGUGUUCCCCAACAAGGGCACUGCGACACGGGCCCUACUCCUACGGGAGGCAGCAGUCGAGAGUAAUUCGCAAUGGGCGAAAGCCUGACGAUGCGACGCCGCGUGCUCGAAGAAGCCCUUCGGGGUGUAAAGAGCUUUUCUGGAGGAAGAACCUUCGGGUGACGGUACUCCAGGAAUAAGGAGAUGCUAAUCACGUGCCAGCAGCAGCGGUAAUACGUGAUCUCCAAGCGUUAUCCGGAUUUAUUGGGCGUAAAGCGUUCGUAGGCGGUUAGAUAAGUCUUUGGUUAAAGCCCCACGGCUUAACUGUGGGAAUGCCAAAGAUACUGUCUGACUAGAGGGCGUUAGAGGCUGAUGGAACGGUCGGUGUAGGGGUGAAAUCCGUUGAUAUCGACCGGAACACUAAAAGCGAAGGCAUUCAGCUGGAGCGACCCUGACGCUGAGGAACGAAAGCGUGGGUAGCGAAUGAGACUAGAUACCUCGGUAGUCCACGCUGUAAACGAUGGACACUAGCUAUUUGAAGUGUCGACCCUUCAAGUGGCGAAGCUAACGCGUUAAGUGUCCCGCCUGGGAAGACGGCCGCAAGGCU